UGUUAGCCAAUACCCUUAGCCCCGUUACAACCCUUAGACUUUAAUCUUGGUUGUUCUGUAUUUCAAUUUGUGGAGUUUGGGAUUGGUAUGAGCAUAUGGUAUCCCUGGUUCUCGCGUCUAAGUAGUAGCAUUCCGUUCAUGAGAUCAUAUAUAUACACAUGCAUUAAUAAUUCCAGAAAGUGCUGUCUUUGCUUAAAACAUAUGUGAGUGGCUAGUCUACAUGUUUACAUCAAUCUUCUCACAUAUACCUAGUAUAGGGAGUGUAGUCAGAAAUUCUAUGUGAAAAUAGAGUGUAUAUUCGGUGAGGAAUUGACGGAUUCUAUAAGGCAUGAUACUGCAUUCAAAACAUUGUUUUAAAUUGAUUAAAUGUGAGCUAGUGAGUGGUGACCGUGAUUAAGUGUGUGCUCGAAAGUAAGGAUAGCUAAAAUCUAUGUGAGUAGUGAUUUUUAAUAUGUCAUGUUUCAUUGAAAAUCCUUGAAGUGAAUGUUGGAACGUUUAGGUUAUGUUUUGUUUGUUUUGCUUGAGGACUAGCUGAUAGGAGCAUUUUUAUGCGACUUAAUUGGCUUGUUCUCA
rnacentral:lncRNA from 1 species